rnacentral:piRNA from 1 species
UACACAUUCUUCCUUCCUGACACUUUAAAU